UCCCAGACUCCUACGGGAGGCAGCAGUGAGGAAUAUUGGUCAAUGGUCGGGAGACUGAACCAGCCAAGCCGCGUGAGGGAUGAAGGUACAGAGUAUCGUAAACCUCUUUUGUCAGGGAGCAACGCCGGCUACGUGUAGCCGGACUGAGAGUACCUGAAGAAAAAGCAUCGGCUAACUCCGUGCCAGCAGCCGCGGUAAUACGGAGGAUGCGAGCGUUAUCCGGAUUUAUUGGGUUUAAAGGGUGCGUAGGCGGAAUGCCAAGUCAGCGGUAAAAUCGCGGGGCUCAACCUCGGGCCGCCGUUGAAACUGGCGUUCUUGAGUGGGCGAGAAGUAUGCGGAAUGCGUGGUGUAGCGGUGAAAUGCAUAGAUAUCACGCAGAACUCCGAUUGCGAAGGCAGCGUACCGGCGCCCAACUGACGCUGAAGCACGAAGGCGUGGGUAUCGAACAGGAUUAGAUACCCUAGUAAA
rnacentral:rRNA from 1 species